CGCGUAGGCGGCUCGGUAAGUCUGAAGUGAAAGUCCUGCUUUCAAGGUGGGAAUUGCUUUGGAUACUGUCGGGCUUGAGUGCAGGAGAGGUAAGUGGAAUUCCCAGUGUAGCGGUGAAAUGCGUAGAGAUUGGGAGGAACACCAGUGGCGAAGGCGACUUACUGGACUGUAACUGACGCUGAGGCGCGAAAGUGUGGGGAGCAAACA
rnacentral:rRNA from 1 species